rnacentral:rRNA from 1 species
GACGAACGCUGGCGGCGUGCUUAACACAUGCAAGUCGAACGGAAAGGCCCUGCUUUUGUGGGGUGCUCGAGUGGCGAACGGGUGAGUAACACGUGAGUAACCUGCCCUUGACUUUGGGAUAACUUCAGGAAACUGGGGCUAAUACCGGAUAGGAGCUCCUGCUACAUGGUGGGGGUUGGAAAGUUUCGGCGGUUGGGGAUGGACUCGCGGCUUAUCAGCUUGUUGGUGGGGUAGUGGCUUACCAAGGCUUUGACGGGUAGCCGGCCUGAGAGGGUGACCGGCCACAUUGGGACUGAGAUACGGCCCAGACUCCUACAGGAGGCAGCAGUGGGGAAUAUUGCACAAUGGGCGGAAGCCUGAUGCAGCAACGCCGCGUGCGAGAUGACGGCCUUCGGGUUGUAAACCGCUUUCGCCUGUGACGAAGCGUGAGUGAUGGUAAUGGGUAAAGAAGCACCGGCUAACUACGUG